UACGUAGGGUGCAAGCGUUAUCCGGAAUUAUUGGGCGUAAAGAGCUCGUAGGCGGUUUGUCGCGUCUGCUGUGAAAACUGGGGGCUCAACUCCCAGCCUGCAGUGGGUACGGGCAGACUAGAGUGCGGUAGGGGAGAAUGGAAUUCCCGGUGUAGCGGUGAAAUGCGCAGAUAUCGGGAGGAACACCGGGUGGCGAAGGC
rnacentral:rRNA from 1 species